AUUUGGCUUUGACCAUGUCAGUCGCACUUAUAAUUCCAACACUCAUGAUACGAACAAACAAAAAACAAUAUCAUAUAGUUUCGAAAUGGAGGUAUAUAUAAAAUGGCUUAAACGACAAAUUCAUUUGUUAUACAUAUCUUUAUGCUUAAAAUUUAACCGGUUUAUUAAAUUUAUACCAUAUUUUAAUUUUUCUUUUUUUUCGUUAAAAAAUGACAACAUUAUGAACGAAUUUAAACACAACGAAGAGUACUUCACUUUCAUAAGCAGAACUUCAGAUAAAAACCAGUUUGUAACUUAUAUUAAAAAAGUUCGUAAAAAAGUCAGAGCUAUGUAUAAAUUGAUUGUAACUAAAGGUAUAAGCAAGCAUUUUACAGCCACAGCUAGUAGUUGUAAUGGUAAUAAUAAUCAAAAAGAUUACCAUCAAAACAACAAAGGGGGUUUUUUUAUAACUUAUAAUACUCUAAAUAAUGAAGAAAAAAUAAUAUUCCUAUGCAAUUUAUUAUUACAAAAUUUCAUAAAAUCGUAUCGCACUAUUAAUGCAAUAAAAAAAAUAAUAAAAACAAAUAAAUGGAAUACGGGAUUGUACAAUGAAAAAAAGAAGUUAGCAAAUUUGGUAACCUACUUUACUAAAAUAGAGUAUUACGAUUAUGAAAUAAGAAAUAUUCUUAGUACUACUGCUAAUACCACUACUGCUCUAGCUACUACUGUCACUACUUCUUGUAGUUACCCCUUUGAAGAUACAAACAAAUAUAAAAAUGAAAAAUUAAAGAAUGACAAUCGUAUAGCAACAUAUGUACAUAGGAGUAGUAGUGGUGCUCCUAACACGUUAGUAAUUAACCGUAACAAUAAUAAAAAUGAAAAAAAUGAAAACCAGAAAAGCGUCACACAAUUGAAAAAUUUGAAUAUGCAAAUUGAUAAAACGGAAAAUAAAAACUGGUUGGCUAAUACAACUAAACCUACUAGUACUAGUAGAUACAGUAGCAACAAACACAUAGACAAACACAUGGACAAACACAUAGACCAUGAUACAUUACUUACAAAUAUAUUUUUGAGUAAAGUUGAAAAAGAAGUUUCAAAUAAGUUUCUUAGUAAAUAUAACCCUCAUAGUAACAUAAAAAUGAACGAGCAAAACAGAGACCAUAAGAAAGACCAUAUAAAGCAAGAAAUUGACAUUUAUCGCAAAAAGAAAAUAAAAAAAAUUCAGAAUAAAAUCUUCUACAAAUUAAACAUCGAAACUGUUUUAUGUUCUUGCUGGUUUAUUGAUCGAACAUUGUUGCAUUUUUUUUUAUAUUUUUAUUUUGCAUGUACAAUUGAUAACAAUUCAAAGGAAUUGUUAUAUAAAGACACCCCAUAUAUAAUACAAGGGAUAUUUUUUAUAAUCCACUAUUUACAAUCUGGUAAUGACAUCACAUUAAAAACUAAAAAAAAUAAUUUUUAUGAUGAUGGAAUGGAAUCAACGUUAAUUCCCGUUUCGACUUUUAUACUAUAUUUUGUUAUCCAUUUGUUUUAUUCCUAUUUUGAUCAAACAUUAUUAACUUUAUAUAAAAAUAAAAAUAAAAAUCACGUUGAAAUGUUUUUGAAGGAUCAAAACCUGUUGCAUAAUGAGCAUAAUAUAGACUUAUUUAAUAAAAGCCAACAUAAAAAAACACAAUAUGAUACAUAUCAAGUAAACAAGAACUACGAAUCAAGUGAAUGUAAUACACAACCAAUGAAUAUGAAAAAUGCUACCAAGUUAUAUUAUAUUAUAAAAAAAUUCCACUAUAUUUUAUCACAUAGAACAAUUGAUGAUACUCAUUUGUUGCAAAACAACAAUAGUAUAGACAAUACUAACACUGACUUUGGAAAGAGUAAUUUUUUAUCAUGUUAUAGUGACUGGUCUGAUAUAAAAAUGAAAACGUCUGGAACGUCUAACAAACUUAGCAACAGUAAUAGAUCUCGUAUGUCUAAACGUGCUACUUCUAAGGACAGUAUUUAUAAAAUUAACCAUAAGAACGACAAGAAACGUACUAUAAGCCUAAGCCAUCCCAUUGGACACAAAAGUAACAAAUAUGGUUCAAAACAAGAAAAAAAUAAAUUAUUUAAAAAAAAAAUACCUACACGUGAGUAUGUUCCAAGGGAUGCAGAGUAUAAAUAUGCAAACGUGCAAGACUCAGAUUGUACUUAUAGCGAAUACAUAUCUCAAAAAAAAAUAGAACAAAUAAAGAAACUAAAACAAAAACAAAAUUAUUUCAUAUAUCAACAAAGAUGUCGUAAUAUUCUUUUUUUUUAUAACUACAACCAUUUCGAAAAUUUAAUAAAUUAUAAUAUACCUAAUAUAUAUUCAUUUUAUUUAAAAAAGUUUUAUUAUACAAAUGAUUAUGUUUGUUAUGACAUCUUUAUGUUAAAAACAGACAAAAAAAAUAAACUAUCGCUACAUUAUAUACCGAAGGAGUAUAAACCAAAACCCAUAGUACAGCAUUAUGAAAACUUAUGUUGUAUAAAUAAUAAUAGUAGUAAAAAAAAAAGAGAUAAUCAAGAAAUAACAAGUUUCACUAAUUGUGAUAUAAUGGUAGGUAAUCAUAAUAAGAACAUGAGUGAUGAGUCUGUUAUACAUACUCACAGUCGGUUGGAUAAUACAAACGCGAAGUGUAAUGGACUUAUAAUUAAAUAUAGCCAACCAAGCAACUGCACAUAUGAUAACCCUGCUCAUACUCACUUUUCCCUAAUCAACAUGUCCAGAAUUGAAAAAGUUAUAACAGAUAUGAUUUUAAUGCGAAUAUUAAGUUGCGAUUGCAGAAACCAUUUGGUUUUAAUUCUGUGUGACUAUCGAAAAUAUAUUGAUAUGUACUCAUUACCAUAUGUAUUAAACAUUUUUAUUAUAUUGAAUACAUACAUAACCGUGAAUAAUAGUAGUAGUGGAGUUAAAGUAGGUAGGCGGGCGUACAACUACGAACAGGGUUUCGAUUACAGAAGUAAAAGCAGCAAAACAAAUGCCAUGUAUAAUAACAACAGAACUGACAUAAGAACUAUCAAUAAUGGUAUAAACAAAAGUGACAGUAACAGUAGUAGUAACAGUAGUAGUAGUAGUAGUAGUAGUAGUAGCACUAAUCGUAACAGUAACCGUAACAGUGGUAGUAAACAAAAUGAACUAUUCGAAAACUUUUGCAACAUAUUUAUUGAAGACGAAUGUGACCCGAACAGCAAUAAUGUACCCCCAAGUCUGUAUGAUCAUAAAUAUUAUGGACAGAGUGAUUAUUAUAACUGCCAUUCUAAAAAAAACAAAAUAAAAUCAACUUUAAAAUAUAAUAAUAUUAUAAAAAAAAGUAAAUAUACAAAUUCACAUAAAUUAUCGAAAUAUUUCAAAUUUUUUAUUUUUAAUACUGUAAAAAAUAUAUUUCAUAACAUACUCUCUAGUAGUAACACCCAAUCGUUGAGGGAUAUCAAAAAAAAAAAACAGCAACGAAACGAACAUAAUAAUAGUAAUAAUAAUAAUAAUAAUAAUAAUAAUAAUAUUACUACUAGUAGUACUUACGAAAAAAAUGAUAAAAUUACGAACGAAACAAAAUUUGUAUUUACGAAUGUAAAAAAUGCUCUGGAGUUAGUUAAUAACAAUAAUGAGUUUGCUGCAGAGGAUGUUCAAGGUGAAGGUGUUGUUGGUCAAAUGUUGUUAAAUGAAAGUGUAAAAUACAGCAAAGAAUAUGUGGAAGGAGAAACAGGCGAUAAACAUAUGGUGGUAAAAACAAGUGGUGAUAAUCUAACACAAAUUGAAGAAACUAAUGUCGAUUCGAGCAAUGACAUUACUUACUCACACAUAAAUGUCAUAGACAAAUAUAUCAACGAAAUAAUAGUUGAAAUCCUUUUUUAUUCAAAUAUAUGGAAAAUGUAUUUAUCUGUAGAAGAACACCCAUUAGUGGUGUUAAACGCUGCUAAUAAAACAUUAUACUAUGAAAUAGUUAACUUUUUAAAACAGAAUAAAAAUAAUAAUGAUAUUUUAUUUACUCAAUGUUUAUCUAUUAUUUUGUCUUUAUAUAAUUUUAAUCUGCUUAAUAAAGAAAUCCUUUUGCAAGCGAGUAUAUAUAAAAAAGUUAAUACUUUGUAUAACCAUAAAAAAAAAAGAGAAGGUCAUGAAUAUGGUUUUACUACUGUUGAUAAUGUUGAUGCAACACCCACAACAACACCCACUGCUACACCCGCUACACCCACUACUCCCAAACACAACAGGAUGCAAACCAAAAUUUUUAAGUAUUAUACAACUAGAGGUUCUGUCAUAGCAACUAUGAAUAGCGGUGAUUAUGAAGAAGAUAAUUACUACAGCAGAAAUGUGUUUCUGCAAAACCAGAACUUAGAAAAUGUGAACGAUGAUGAAAAAAACCAAAACCAGUUGCAAAAAAACCAAAACCAGAUGGAAAAAAACCAAAACCAGUUGCAAAAAAACCAAAACCAUAUGCAAAAAAACCAAAACCAUAUGCAAAAAAACCCAAACCAGAUGCAAAAAAACCAAAAUCAGAUGCAAAAGAACCCAAACCAGAUGCAAAAGAACCCAAACCAGAUGCAAAAAAACUCCGAUUUAUAUGACAUGUUUAUUAACUUAUCAUUAAGCAUAUCGAAUUCCAACGAUCAUUGUAUGGUAAAAAUAAUGUUUAAAUUAGAAAAAAUAAUAAUAAAAAUUAUAGAUAAUAAAUUAAAGCAUAAUAAAAAUUUAUUAUCAAAAUGUUUGGAAAAUGAAAAACUCUUGCCUGAACACACAUCUAACGUAAUGCAUAAUUCAACAGUUGUUGACAUUAUUUCAAUCGUAUAUAAUAUAUUGGAUGUCCUUUUACAAUAUACAUUUCCAGUUGAAUGGGUUAUAACACCUUUUCUUGAAUUCUUAAGCAACUUCAUUUUAGACUAUUGUGAUAAUUAUAAAAAAAAUUUUACUUCUUUUAUUAUAUCUGUACUUAACCAGUAUGCUAAUAACUAUUUUAAUGGUCUAUUCAAUUUGAAGGAACAAAAAAUAUAUUGGGAAAAAUAUACAAAUGAAACAAAAAGGAAACAUAAAGAAAAAGAUAAAGAAAAAGAUAAAGAAAAAGAUAAAGAAAAAGAUAAAGAUAAAAAAAAAGAGAAAGACAAAGAAAAAGAAAAAGAAAAAGAAAAAGAAAAAGAAAAAGACAAAGAAAAAGAAAAAGAAAAAGACAAAGAGAGAAAUAAAAGUAAAAGUAACAGAAGGGUAAAUUCUUUAGAAGAAAGCACUACUUUGGUUGAUGAUAAGAUUAAUAAUAGUGACGAUGGUAGUAUAAAUGGUACCAGUCACAUAGUUAGAAAUAGUCAUACUAAAAACGCUAACAGUGAAAGUAACAAAGAUAGCAACGGCAGUGACAAAACCAAUGACGGUACCAACGACGGUACCAAUGACGACACUAAGACCUUUACACGUGUUGAUAUUUUCAAACAAAAUGAUAUUGAUAAUUUAGAAAAUAACAACAAUUUAAUAUACUAUGAUGAUACUGCAGAUAGUGAAUAUAAAGAUGCCAUAGAAAUAUCCAAAAGAAAAAUUACAAAAUGAUGAAAAUAUAUAAAAAUGCUUUUUAUAAAUUUUUCGAUUAUAAUGAAUUAAAUGUUAAAAAAAUUAAAAACAAAAUGGGUGAAAUAUUUGAAGAUAUAAAUGAAUUGUCAAACAAAGUAACAAACUUUCAAAGCGCUACGACGAAGGUAAAAAAUAAAAAUUACAAUGACAAAAAAUCA
ensembl:lncRNA